UGUUUUUAAAAUAGAAAAUCCAGGAUGAAAAAAGACCAAACGGUUCCAAUUUAUUCUCUACAUGAAAUAAUGUGGUCUGAGUUUGAUUUAGGAGUAUACCCACAUAUUGAAUUACUUUGCCAUUGGUCAUCUCUUUACCUUCAGAACCCGGAGGCCAGCUUUUUCAAGUUGUUUUUCUUUGUCCUUGAAUUCUUGAAGAUAUGACUCUAUUGGAGUGACUUGGUAACAGUAUUUACUCGCCAUUUCUGUGUAGCCUUCUUGAUGAGGAGAGUUUCUCAAAGGUCCUAGAUGCAGGUAAUAAAAUACUAAAUAGUAGUGCAACUUUCAGAUUGGAAAAUUAACUGUAAGCUUACUGGAGACGGGUAAUGCCUGGUCUUCUAUUUGCUUAUUAAAAUGGAAAAACAGUAAGCACAAUGAGUUCAUUGUUUAAUAAGGGCCCCUUCUUCACAGAGUGGUAAUAUUUCCUUUGACAGCGACAACUGAAAUCCUUUGAGGCUGCAAUCCUGUAACCUCUUACCGUGAUUUCUCAGGGUUCUAAAUCACAUCCCGGAGCCUACUUGAGUUGAAAAGGCUUUCCAAUGCAAAGCCAAAUUCUUCACCAAAUUUGAUAAUAAUAAUAAUAAAAUACUUUGCCUGAUUGACAUCCGAUGCUCUUUCAAAACGUGUUGUGGAAAGUAUACAAAUUUAAUAAAUAAUAAAAAUAAAAAUGUUCAGCCUUCAAUGGACCAGGUGGGUACAGGAAUAGUGACAGUGAUGUAUAGGAAGGGUUUGGUUAAAGGUUUCACCCUUGCACCCACUUGCAUGAUGGAAAUGGCCUGGUGGGGAGAGCAACUGAGUAAGGCUACUGCCUGUAUGGUUUCAAACUGUUCUUUGUACAGGCUAGAAGCCUGCCCUUAGUAUAAGGUGAAGGAUAUCAAUAAGCCAACUUAUUCACCAGAUGCUUUCUUAGCAGGUGUUCACAUAUUUUUCAUAACAGCAUUGUGCUUAUGUACAUACAGCCCCACAUACCGUCUGCCUUCAUUUCUUGCUUGGCUGUAGUCUGCAGCAUGAAUUCGAUAGCGAAUGUUGCAUCAAUCACGGCUCGGGGGGAACCUUCGAUCUCGAGGGCUGCACCCUCCCCGGUCAAACUCUCUACUAUGGUUAUGCCAAAGUGCUGCUGCAGAUGAGACAGCUCAACUGGCUGACCACUACCAAGGUUGAGAAGGUUAUAAUUUUGUAUAACGAUCCGGUGACUUUCCUCAACUUGUAUGAUGUUUCGGAGCCACAGUUCUGCUGCCUCCAGCGUUUCCUGGCUGCGUCCAAUAAGUUCCACAAAUGGUCCGUUUUUUUCACAACCUCCAUCGGCUUGUAUGUCAGUCUGUACCUCUGAAAAAUAUUAUUGGUAGGUGUUGCAAUGGUUAGUGAAUGACUCAUGAAGAAGGGACAAUUAAGAGGUGAUAUGAUAGCCAAAUAUUUGAAGGGCUCACACAGAUAGAUGAUGGGGGGGGGAUUUAUUUUUCUGUUGCUUGACAGGGCUAAUUGGUUUAAAUUACAAGAAAACCAAAAGUGGACUUUGAAACCAUGUUCCACUACUAAAAUCUAAAUUGAACCUUUGCUAGAAUUAUUUCUUACCAACUACUGAUUCUCCCCGCCUCUGCUUCAACUCCACUCAUCUUUCAUGUCCCUCAUUAAAACCUACACAAAACUUAGUUUUCUAAUAUUCCUGACAUGUUCUAUUUGUGGUCAAACAUUAAAAUAUAUUUUAUAUAUAUAUACAGAGAAUCUCAACCAGUUUUAACCAUCCCAUUUAUUUAUUACCCAUGCCAUCCAUAUUGCUGCAGUCCAUCUUUUCUUCCAGUUUGUUUUUGACUGACAUAAGCUUGGUGAAGAAAGCCUUUAAAAAGAGAGAAAACACACACAAUUGCUGCUUUUUUUUUUUGGCUCAGUUCUAAGCAUUAUUGUGCCAGUUUAGGACGCAGUGUACAAAGCACUAUGAAUCUUCAGCAUCUAAUAACAAUGGUCAUUUUCCACUGCAGAAAGCUAAACCCAUCACCAUUUACUUCAUAUCCACAUUCAAGAUUAGACCUGAGGCAGUAAAAUCCCACACAAUGAGUAUAAUGGGCAGUAGUGAGAGUUCCCAUAUUAAACUGAGCAUUGUGCCUAUCUCAAGUGAUAACCCAGGCUUCUCCAAUCUAGUACCAUCUGUAUGUUGUUGGACAAUAGCUCUCAUCAUCUUUGACCUUUGCCAUCCUGGCUGGAGCUGACCACAGUUGUGCUGUAUUCCAAAAUAUUUGGAGGGCACCAGUAUGUGGAAACCAGUGAUAAAACUAUAGAAAAAUGUUUUAGAGAGAUGCAUUUACAGUGGUACCUUGGGUUAAGAACUUAAUUCGUUCUAGAGGUCCGUUCUUAACCUGAAACUGUUCUUAACCUGAGGUACCACUUUAGCUAAUGGGGCCUCCCGCUGCCGCUGCACCACCGGAGCACAAUUUCUGUUCUCAUCCUGAAGCAAAGUUCUUAACCUGAGGUAAUAUUUCUGGGUUAGUGGAGUCUGUAACCUGAAGCGUAUGUAUUAGAUGGCCACUGUAUUAGAUGGCCAAUCUUUAGCUACUUGCCAUGAGCAUUCAGAACCUCACCUCAUAAACAUCACUGUCAUCUGGAGGAACCACAAUGAAUACCUCAGGCUUCUUCCCAGGAUAUUCCUCCGCAAAGUGUAUUAUUUCCUCCACCAUAAUCUCUACCACUUCAUCCUUUGGCAUGUGUAAAUCUUCAAUCCCAAGGAGAGGAAAACAAACGGAUGAGGACUGCUGCUCUUGAGCCUUGAGAAGACUUUUAGAAACUGCAGCUUUUAGUGCCUGUUGGAGGAGGAAAGUAGUUAUAAUGGUGAUUCCCACCCCCCAUUCAGUGAAAUGGAAAGCUAAUAGAAAAAAAGCCAUCACCUCCUGUGCGUUGCAUUCACUGCAAGAUGGCCAUACCACAUGGAGCACAAACUCACAGUCAAUAUUGCACCCUUUUGUGAAUAUGAGUUUCAGGUUAUCUGCUGGAAGUCUCUGUAACUCAGAGAGAAAUUGCUCCUGCAUAGCUGGACCUGCCUUUUCGAGGAUUGCUCUUGAGAUGGUUCCUUGAGAGAGAUCAUCUUGCACAGUCACAGAGCUAAUAAUAAUGGCAGCCUGGAAGAGAAUGAUAGAUCAUUGACUGUGAUGGAGUCUGCUGCUCCCGCCAGAGGCACAACAUCGUUGGUGCCUAGCAACUCUUCGCACGCCCUUUUCAUGACUUCAGCUGUGGUCUCAUCAAUGUUCACGAGGUGGAUUUCUUGCAAGUAACCAAAUAACGGAGCUAACUGAAUAAAAUUCUUUAUAGUCCGUA